GGUCUGCUGUGGCGGACGCUUGGCUGAGCCUGGCCUUAUUCUGAGGACUGUCCACACAGUCCUGGUGUGGAAAGUGAGGCCGGCAGGGGCAUCGGGGGGACAGCAGGUUGUGGGGGCGCUGUUUGCAGACCCCAACCCUACCUCUCGUCCUAGGCAGAGCCGCUGUGCGUCAGGACGCUGGUGCCCCCAACAGAACCACAGUGCGGUGCCCAGGAGGGUCUUGCUGUGUAGCCCAGGCUGGCCCCGAACUCACAAUGAUCCUCCUGCCAGGGCCUCCAAGGUGCUGGGACUACAGCCACGAACCACCGUGCCUGCCCACAGAUGGCAGGAGAGGUGUGUGAAGUCUGCGUGGGGUGUACAUACAGUUGACACCAACUAAACUGGCUCUGUGUUAUCAGGCGUUGUCAUCUUAUGGGGCCACGAUCGCCUUUGUGGUCUGUUGUGAACCAAAACAUCAGUGCGUGCAUGUCCUGGGGCUGCAGCGACAGAGCCCCAAAGACUGGGGCUUAAAAUCUACCGUCUCGGAUUAGAAGGCUGGAAGUUUGAAUUGAAGGUGUCAGCAGGGCCACUCACCUUCUGAAACCCACAGGGGAAUCUGAUCCGUGUCCUUCUCAGCAGUGGUGUGAC
rnacentral:lncRNA from 1 species